rnacentral:rRNA from 1 species
UACAGAGGGUGCGAGCGUUAAUCGGAAUUACUGGGCGUAAAGCGCACGUAGGCGGCUUGGUAUGUCGGGUGUGAAAUCCCCGGGCUCAACCUGGGAACUGCAUCCGAAACUGCCUUGCUAGAGUAUGGGAGAGGGAAGUGGAAUUUCCGGUGUAGCGGUGAAAUGCGUAGAGAUGGGGGAGAACACUCGUGGCGAAGGCGGCCAGCUAGACCAGUUCUGACACUGAGGCGCGAUAGCGUGGGGAGCAAACAGG